CCAGACUCCUACGGGAGGCAGCAGUGGGGAAUAUUGCACAAUGGGGGGAACCCUGAUGCAGCGACGCCGCGUGGGUGAAGGAGCACCUCGGUGCGUAAAGCCCUAUCGGCAGGGAAGAAACAGACGGUACCUGACUAAGAAGCCCCGGCUAACUACGUGCCAGCAGCCGCGGUAAUACGUAGGGGGCAAGCGUUGUUCGGAAUGACUGGGCGUAAAGGGUGUGUAGGUGGUUUGAUAAGUUAGAUGUGUAAUACCCAGGGCUUAACUCGGGUGCUGCAUCUAAAACUGUUAGACUUGAGUACUGGAGAGGAUAGUGGAAUUCCUAGUGUAGCGGUGGAAUGCGUAGAUAUUAGGAGGAACAUCAGUGGCGAAGGCGACUAUCUGGACAGCAACUGACACUGAGGCACGAAAGCGUGGGGAGCAAACAGGAUUAGAUACCCGAGUACUG
rnacentral:rRNA from 1 species